rnacentral:tRNA from 2 species
CGCGGGGUAGAGCAGUUGGUAGCUCGUCGGGCUCAUAACCCGGAGGUCGCAGGUUCAAAUCCUGUCCCCGCAACCA